rnacentral:lncRNA from 1 species
CAAAUUGACCCUCUCUCUUCACGGAGGAAUUCUACACUGUCACACUUGCACCACGUCAUCAAUAACAAACCAAUCACAUUUCUUCUUUUCAAACAAAAGUACAAUAAAAAUACUUUUUUACAAUCAUGAUGGAACAUAUAUUCUUAAAAAAAUUAAUUUGAUUAGUUUGUUACGCCACGUCACUAAUAUAUCCGUUGCAUUCUAGAAUUUUUCCUCUUCACGAUGCCAUGCACGUUACAUAUAUACAUUCCCCCGCACCCUCCCCUUCUCUCACCUUUUCUCUUCCCCCUCUCAUCCUCCUCCUCUUGUUCUGACCACCUUUUACAAACAAAAC